rnacentral:rRNA from 1 species
UACAGAGGGUGCGAGCGUUAAUCGGAAUUAUUGGGCGUAAAGGGCAUGUAGGUGGUUUUAAAAGUUUGAUGUGAAAGCCCCGGGCUUAACCUGGGAAUGGCGUUGAAUACUAUAAGACUAGAGUCGGACAGAGGGUAGUGGAAUUUCCGGUGUAGCGGUGAAAUGCGUAGAGAUCGGAAAGAACACCAGUGGCGAAGGCGGCUACCUGGGACCAGACUGACACUGAGGUGCGAAAGCGUGGGGAGCGAACAGG